GAAGGUCAAAGUCCAGAGCAGUGCAUUCAGUAUCCGCCCCUUUCCUUCAGGGCGCAUUGCUAUUAAGAAAAGAUUUACUGAGAGGUCUGGUUUUGUCAUCACUCCUUCACUCAAAAAACAUGAAGAAAAUGUUACCUCCAUAUUAUGGGUGAACAAAUGGAAGUACUGAGAAAUUGAGCAAUUUUCUGAUGAACAGAGCAAAGAUGAACUUAAUGAAAUCAACCCAUCUGAAACCAUGGAA